GACUAGAAACCCGGUUGAGUGGUAUGGAGUGCCCCUCCAUGGGGGGUCAAUGUUAUCGUAUGGGUAUGGAUAGCACUAGGAUCGAAUGGUUAGAUUUGGUGCUCAUCAUAUAUAGGUUUGUUGCGUACUUGAUUUGAUCGUGUUAGACUGCGAAGUUAUAGCAUGUAUAGAAUAGACAUAGAAUCCUGGGUUAAUUAAGGUUCAACUCAGUGGGGAUUGGUGUGCGUAAGGAGACUCCUUUAGGUGAGCUGAUUAAGGUGUUAUAUAGGGGUAAUACCUCUCAUAUACUUCUGCAUACUUGGGUAUGUGGUUGUUGUGCCAUGCCCUCUGUGCCCAAAUCAUAACAUGUAAAAUGCAUAAAAUACAGUCUCCGGUAAAAAUGCUAAUAAAACUAGAACAUCAACAGAGAGUGAAAUAAAACAUUUGUUUUGGUAGAAGCAAGCCUGCCGGUAAAGUAGUGGCAGCUACAUAGGCGUAUGGUGUUGCCCCUCAGGGUAUUAUUGGAAGCGCUGCCGCCGAAUUCCAAGUGUGGGUUGGAGAGGUGGUAAUGCUGUCUGCAGGGCUCGGUUUGUGCUUUGACAUAGUGUGUGGUUGUACUUUGUCCAGGGAGUCCAUUGGGAGUCCCAGUGGUGACAGAAGAUAUUUUACUUCCUAGAGAUCCUGGACAGGAUACUUUGCGGUGCCGUGUUGAACGAUUAAUAUGCACUGCAUUUUCCAUCUGUACGCGAUGCCUUUGGACUGGAGGAGAGAUGUGAAGGUCUAAAGCGAUCUCCACCACGCCAUCGUUUUCCCAGACAAGUCCGCAUAGCAGCAUGCCCUCGAACGUGUAUGGUGAGUGAUUCCUGACUGCGUUCAGGACAGCUGCUUUAUCCUUGCCGCUUUGGAAUC